rnacentral:rRNA from 1 species
UACGUAGGUGGCAAGCGUUGUCCGGAUUUACUGGGCGUAAAGAGCGCGCAGGCGGUUGGAUAAGUCGAAUGUGAAAGCCCCCGGCUUAACUGGGGAGGGUCAUUCGAUACUGUUCAACUUGAAGGCAGGAGAGGGCAGCAGAAUUCCCGGUGUAGUGGUGAAAUGCGUAGAUAUCGGGUGGAACACCAGCGGCGAAGGCGGCAUCCUGGCCCUGUACUGACGCUGAGGCGCGAUAGCGUGGGGAGCAAACGGG